rnacentral:rRNA from 1 species
GACGAACGCUGGCGGCGUGCCUAACACAUGCAAGUCUUACGAGAAAGGGAUAGCAAUAUCCUGAGUAAAGUGGCGCACGGGUGAGUAACGCGUAGGCAAUCUACCAUGAGGACGGGAAUAAUCCGCCGAAAGGCGGACUAAAACUCGAUGAUGCAGCGGCUCCGCAUGGAGACAGUUGUUAAAGUCUCGGCGCAAGCCGGGAGCCUCAUGAUGAGCCUGCGUCCCAUUAGCUAGUUGGCGGGGUAACGGCCCACCAAGGCGACGAUGGGUAGCUGGU